UACAGAGGGUGCGAACGUUGCUCGGAAUUACUGGGCGUAAAGCGCGUGUAGGCGGUCCGUUAAGUUGGUAGUGAAAUCCCAUGGCUCAACCAUGGAAGUGCUGCCAAAACUGGCGGGCUGGAGUGCCGGAGAGGGUGGCGGAAUUCCCAGUGUAGAGGUGAAAUUCGUAGAUAUUGGGAGGAACACCAGUGGCGAAGGCGGCUCACUGGACCGGUACUGACGCUGAGGCGCGAAAGCGUGGGGAGCAAACAGG
rnacentral:rRNA from 1 species